rnacentral:rRNA from 1 species
GAGUUUGAUUAUGGCUCAGGAUGAACGCUGGCGGCGUGCCUAACACAUGCAAGUCGAGCGCGGUUGUGCUUAGUAUUGAGUGUUUUAUUGAUAUAAAACAUUGAAUUCUAUGCACAACUGAGCGGCGGACGGGUGAGUAACGCGUGGGUAACCUGCCCUAUACACAUGGAUAACAUACUGAAAAGUUUACUAAUACAUGAUAAAAUAGCUUUUCGGCAUCGAAGAAUUAUCAAAGUGUUAGCGGUAUAGGAUGGACCCGCGUCUGAUUAGCUAGUUGGUGAGAUAACUGCCCACCAAGGCGACGAUCAGUAGCCGACCUGAGAGGGUGAUCGGCCACAUUGGAACUGAGACACGGUCCAAACUCCUACGGGAGGCAGCAGUGGGGAAUAUUGCACAAUGGGCGCAAGCCUGAUGCAGCAACGCCGCGUGAACGAUGAAGGUCUUCGGAUCGUAAAGUUCUGUUGCAGGGGAAGAUAAUGACGUACCCUNGNGCC